ACCGAAAGAGCUAGUUGGGAGAGCAUUAAACUAUAGAUCAAAAAGUCUCUGGUUCGAUCCCGGGCUCCGGCA
rnacentral:tRNA from 1 species